rnacentral:lncRNA from 1 species
GUUGUAUCUUUUAAAGUAAAUACUGUGAGACUGUGAGACUGGGAGUAAAGGUCAGCACGCACAGGGCCCUGGAUACCACCCGUAGUACCGCAGUGCACAAACAAACACAGUAAAUGAUGGGAUGGAAUCGGAAGUGCACCGGUCCAGGCAACGAAGCCGUGAGGAGCAGGUAGAGUUCUAACGUCUAUUUACUUCUGAGCAGUGCCGCGAGAAUAAUUAAUGUUUGUCCGUGUCUUUGAGAUCUUCAGAUGAAAGGACGAUCAGGGAGUCUAGAAUUAUGAGAUUCCCAUGACUCAAAUCCCCAGAACACAUUUCAUUGCACCUUCCAGGGUUUGCAGGCCGGGAAGAGGCCAGGGCUACUCCUCCAAUGGUGGCUGAGAGGUGGCUGCUCAACACUGGGGUGUUCAGGGAAAGCGAAUUUGAAAAUAAGGCUGGAGACAACAAGGAUCCAAACCAAACAAACCCCUGGCUUCCUGAGCAAAAGUGAACUGGAGAUGCUGGGAGGAGUCCUUCGGGAGGGAGUUGUUGGCCUCUGGGGACGGCUAUCUUGCUCGUAAUCCUGCAUCCCGCGUGGGCCACAGUCACUGAUGUGAGAGUCAGGCUGAGUCUACCUGGACUGGAGCUGCAGGUCUCUGGAGUCAUCACUGAUCAGGGUCCUGUUUGGUUUAAGGGUACAGACUUGAGAAUCAUGAUCCUUGCCUGAACAUGGCUGAAAACACAGAAGGGUGCCUGGCAUGUCACACAUGGACACAACCUGGAAAGUCACUGGUUGAGGAGUCUUGCUGUUGUUUGUGGAAAGUGCCGGUACCCGGAGCUGCUUCCUGACCUCACAGAACAGCAUGACAUUUGGCUCAAUCAAGCCCCUAUCAUGGGUUGCCACACAAACAUUGCCUGUCUUGUGCUGUCAUUUCCUGGCAGUGAACAAUCAUUCCACAUUGCCUCAGGAUGCUCUCAUCAUGUCCCUCUGGUGGCAGCUGAACCAGUCCUCAAAAAGCAGAUGUACAGCUGGAGUGUUCUUUUGGGAACAAGGCGGGAACAAAGCCAAUGUGGCUUCUCUGGAAGAGCACCAAAUGUGCAGUCCUAGGAGCACAGCUGCAUGAUUUUGACAACUGAGGAACUGCCACCCCCCCCCCCACUCACCAUUAACUUGUCACAGC